GUACUGCACAGGAGUCCCACAAUAGGACGAAACGGCUGUCCAGUAC
rfam:Schistosoma mansoni strain Puerto Rico chromosome 1, complete genome